AUACCUUUCUUGGCCUUUUGUCUAAGAUCAAGUAGAAUAUAUGUAUCAGUUUAAUAUUUGAUACAUGGACCAUUGAUCCACAUGAUAAGUAACUCAUUUUUUGGAGGGGUAAGGUCCAUCAGGAUAUCUUGAUAUCUUGGCCUUCGUGCAUCGCGUAGGCUUUGCACUACUGCCCUGGCCUGGACACCCUAC
rfam:Capsicum annuum cultivar Zunla-1 chromosome 5, whole genome shotgun sequence